rnacentral:rRNA from 1 species
AAUAGAUACCCUGGUAGUCCACGCCGUAAACGAUGGAUGCUAGCUGUUAGGAGUAUCGACCCUCCUAGUAGCGUAGCUAACGCGUUAAGCAUCCCGCCUGUGGAGUACGGUCGCAAGACUAAAACAUAAAGGAAUUGACGGGGACCCGCACAAGCGGUGGAGCGUGUUGUUUAAUUCGAUGGUAAGCGAAGAACCUUACCCAGGUUUGACAUCCCACUAAGGACUCCGAAAGGAGACUGUGUCUUCGGACCGUGGUGACAGGUGUUGCAUGGCCGUCGUCAGCUCGUGUCGUGAGAUGUUUGGUUAAGUCCAUCAACGAGCGCAACCCUUAUAGUUAGUUGUAUUUCUCUAGCUAGACUGCCCUGGCAACAGGGAGGAAGGAGGGGAUGAUGUCAGGUCAGUAUUACCCUUACACCUGGGGCUACAAACACGCUACAAUGGCCGGUACAAAGGGCAGCCAACCCGCGAGGGGGAGCAAAUCCCAUCAAAGCCGGUCUCAGUUCGGAUUGCAGGCUGAAACUCGCCUGCAUGAAGCUGG